rnacentral:rRNA from 1 species
GACGAACGCUGGCGGCGUGCUUAACACAUGCAAGUCGAACGGACUAUUUCAUUUCGGUGGGAUAGUUAGUGGCGAACGGGUGAGUAACGCGUAGACAACCUACCUCUUAGAUGGGGACAACAUCGCGAAAGCGGUGCUAAUACCGAAUGAAGUGACUUUCCUGCAUGGGAGAGAUACUAAAGGUGGCCUCUAUUUAUAAGCUACCACUGAGAGAUGGGUCUGCGUCUGAUUAGCUAGUUGGCGGGGUAACGGCCCACCAAGGCGACGAUCAGUAGCCGGUCUGAGAGGAUGAACGGCCACAUUGGGACUGAGACACGGCCCAGACUCCUACGGGAGGCAGCAGUGGGGAAUUGUUCGCAAUGGGCGCAAGCCUGACGACGCAACGCCGCGUGGAGGAUGAAGGUCUUCGGAUUGUAAACUCCUGUUGAUCGGGACGAAACGCCUCGGCCUAAUACGCCGGGGACUGACGGUACCGGUUGAGGAAGCCACGGCUAACUCUGUGCCAGCCGCCGCGGUAA